CUCAUCCAGAGCAGUGGAGGGACAGGCCCGAUGAAGCUGCGGCAACCAUUGGAGCGUGGAAGAGCUUCAAAACGGUGCCAAUUCCUAUAGGCAGGACCUAUGAAGAUGAGA
rnacentral:ncRNA from 1 species